rfam:Glycine max cultivar Williams 82 chromosome 15, whole genome shotgun sequence.
ACAGCAGUGAUGAGCCUCUAACAUGUAAGAAGGAAUCCCUAGUAGGAUUACUUCAAUGAAAUUUACCUGUUACGCUUGGCUUCUGAGCUUU